AAGUUCCUUGGAACAGGACGUCACAGAGGGUGAGAAUCCCGUACGUGGUCGCUAGCCUUUACCGUGUAAAGCCCCUUCGACGAGUCGAGUUGUUUGGGAAUGCAGCUCUAAAUGGGAGGUAAAUUUCUUCUAAAGCUAAAUACUGGCCAGAGACCGAUAGCGCACAAGUAGAGUGAUCGAAAGAUGAAAAGCACUUUGNAAAGAGAGUUAAAAAGCACGUGAAAUUGUUGAAAGGGAAGCGCUUGCAGCCAGACUUGCCUGUAGUUGCUCAUCCGGGUUUAUACCCGNUGCACUCUUCUACGGACAGNCCAGCAUCAGUUUGNNCGNNUGCNUAAAGNUCUCUGUCAUGUACCUCCUCUCG
rnacentral:rRNA from 1 species